UAGAGUUGAGCUGGAAUACUACUGGUAGCAAACGGGCUCCGUUGCCACCCACUUGUUUUCGAUGAUGGAGCCUCCAAAUCGACGAUCGGUACCGUUUAACAUGAUCUACAAUUGAGCUGGAAUGCUACCGGUAGCAAACGGGCUCCGUUGCCACCCACUUGUUUUCGAUGAUGGAGUCUCCAAAUCGACGAUCGGCACCGGUGAACAUGAUUUACACCACUUGAAAUAUCUAGAAAUUAGAUUUUAUGUUUUUCCGAUAUUGUUCUCUUGUCCAUCAAAUGGGCAUAAAAAUGAACGGCUGAAAAUGAAUAUCCUCUAAAAAAUGAUUAAGAAUUAUUGAUUUUGAAUCCUUAGAUCACUAGGUAAAUGAUAUAAAAAAAUCGCAAAAAUUAUUUUCUAGAAACUUCAAAUGCGCUAGAUCAAGUCUAACUGAGUCUAUCGUCGAUUCGAAAAUUCCAUCAUCGAUACUUCAAGUGGUGUAGAUCAUUUUCAACGGGACCGAUCGUCGAUUUGGAGGCUCCAUCAUCAAAAACAAAUAGGUGGCAACGGAGUCCGUUUGCUACCGAUAGUAUUCCAGCUCAACUCUAUAUAUAUAAACGGCUGAAAAUAAAAAUCUUACAAAAUGUAAUAAUGUGACAUUAAAAUUUUAAAUCAAAGAUAUUGAUCUUGUUUUAUAAGUAUAAAGAAUUUUCUAUCAAAAUUUCACGUGAUUUGAAUAUUUCUACACCGUUGAACUUGCAAACGGCUCAUUACGACCAUUGAAAUUUGUUGAUUUGAGUCCAUUCGAUCACUAGGCAAAUGAUAUCGAAAAAUAAUAAAAUUUAUUUUCUAGGUACUCCAAAUACUCUAAAUCAAGUUUAACAGAGCCGAUCGACGAUCCAAAAGUCGCAACAUCGAAAAUGAGCUAGAAGCACGGAAGGCUCCGUGUUUCCGAUAGCAUAGUAGCCUCACUCUAUAUAUAUAUAUAUAUAGAGCAGGGCUGCUGUGCUCUCAGGAGCACGGAGGCCUCCGUGCUUCUGAGCCGUUUUCGAUGAUGGAGUUUUCGAAUCGACGAUCGGCUCCGUUAAACUUGAUCUAGCGUAUUUAAAGUUUCUAGAAAAUAAUUUUUGCGAUUUUUCGAUAUCAUUUACCUAGCAAUCGAAAGUAUUCAAAAUCAAUAAUUUUUAACGGCUGAAAAUAAAAAUCCAAUAAAAACUGGUGAUAUAGCACUAAAAUUUUCGAUCAGAAAUAUAGAUCUUGUUGUAGAUAGUAUAAAGAAUUUUCUAUCAAAAUUUCAUCUGAUUUGAAUACUUAUACACCGUUAAACUUGAAAACGGCAGAUAUCAACCAUUAAAAAUUAUGGAUUUUGAAUCCUUUCGAUCACUAGGUAAAUGAUAUCGAAAAAUCGCAAAAAUUAUUUUCUAGAAACUUCAAAUGCGCUAGAUCAAGUCUAACGGAGCCGAUCGUCGAUUCGAAAAUUUCAUCAUCGAAAACGGCUCAGGAGCACGGAGGCCUCCGUGCUCCUAAGAGCACAGCAGCCCUGCUAUAUAUAUAUAUA
rnacentral:lncRNA from 1 species